AAUCGGCAUCUUCUUGAGGUAACUAGGGCACUUGUUUUCUAAAUAAAGGUACUUAAACAUUUUUGGACUGAUGCAGUUUCUAUAGUGUGUGUUUUGAUUAAUCGCAUGCCAUCUUCUGUCCUUAAUGGGGACAUUCCUUAUACUAUUUUGUUUCCAUCUAAAUCAUUGUUUCCUGUUAAACCCCGGAUUUUUUGUUGUACUUAUUUUGUGCGAGAUGUUCAUCCACAGGUUUCUAAAUUGGAUCCAAAGUUUCUAAAAUGUGUUUUCCUUGGAUACUCACGGCUCCAAAAAGAAUACAGGAGAUUGGAGAUUCUAGACUUAGAUUCUUCACAUCUUCAUCAUCGGAAGAUCCAGUUACUAGCACUGAUCGUGAUCCUACUUUAGAUCUUCCCAUUGCUCUUCGCAAAGGUAAACGUGCAUGUACUUAUCCCAUUUCCUUUUUUGUUUCUUAUAAUCAUUUGUCUUCUCUUUCUCGAUGUUUAGUUACCUCUUUAGACUCUAUAAAAAUCCCUAAAAUAGUCAUUGAUGUAUUAUCUCAUCCCGGUUGGUGUGCUACUAUGAAAGAAAAAAAUGGAGGUCUUAGAUACAAAUGAUACAUGAGAACUGGCGCUUUUGCC
rnacentral:misc_RNA from 1 species